CAGCCAUCGGUUCGUUUGGGUACAAACUGCUGUGUAUAGUACACUCACACUCUAAAUUUGUAACCGAGAAAAUUAACUACAUAGCUAAUAUGCAAAUUGCUCGGUGUGGCUACCUAUCAAUUAUUUUAACCUUACUCGCUAUAUAAUAAUAUUAAAUACUAUUACACAUUGUAUACUCAGGGGAAGUUUAUAGAUAGUUGCGGCGUCGGUGAUCCGCACAGUGGCUUUAGAAUAUAAAAUAACGCGCAGGCAGUUUUUUACAUCAAAUAGGUUUUUU